rnacentral:rRNA from 1 species
CCUACGGGAGGCAGCAGCUAAAAAUCUUCCGCAAUGGGGGAAACCCUGACGGAUCGACGCCGCGUGGGCGAAGAAGGCCGCAAGGUUGUAAAGCCCUUUUCUUGACGAAGAAUAAGCGUGGGAGUGGAAUGCCCGCGUGAUGACGUUAGUCGAGGAACAAGCCCCGGCCAAUUACGUGCCAGCAGCCGCGGUAACACGUAUGGGGCGAGCGUUGUUCGGAAUUACUGGGCGUAAAGGGUGCGCAGGCGGUUCAGCAAGCCUGGUGUUAAAUCCCCCGGCCCAACCGGGGAGCUGCGCUGGGAACUGCUGGGCUGGAGUUCAGGAGGGGAAGCUGGAAUUCCUGGUGUAGGGGUGAAAUCUGUAAAGAUCAGGAAGAACACCGGUGGCGAAGGCGAGCUUCUGGCCAUGGACUGACGCUGAGGCACGAAAGCGUGGGGAGCGAACAGGAUUAGAUACCCUGGUAGUCCACGCUGUAAACGAUGUGCACUAGGUGUUGGGGCGAUGAAAGCCUCGGUGCCGUACCGAACGUGUUAAGUGCACCGCCUGGGGAGUAUGCUCGCAAGGGUGAAACUCAAAUGAAUUGACGG